CCGCCCCUUCCCUCAGCGGCUGCGGGCAGAGGCAGAGGCAGGAGCCGCGGAGCGGGCGGAGGGCGAGCGGGAGCGCUGCCGCCGCACCGGCUGAGGGGACACCGCCGCCAGAACAGCCGCAGAGCUGUGGAAUGCUGUGAAGACUCUGCCCUUCAGCCCUAGGCACGCUCCUCUCCGGAUUAUCUCCAUCCAAAGGAAGCUCAGAUCCAAGAGAGUUCCCAGUCUUCCAUCAUGAACCCUGUUUACAGCCCCGUCCAACCUGGGGCUCCCUAUGGAAACCCGAAGAACAUGGCAUACACAGGUUAUCCGACGGGCUAUCCCACCGCUGCUCCAGCCUACAACCCAAACAUGUAUCCAACCAGCAGCCCCGGCUACGCCCCAGCUACACUUCUGAUGAAGCAAGCCUGGCCACAGACCUCCUCCUCCUGUGCCACGGAGGGCACCUUCCACCUCCCAGUGGACACCGGCACCGAGAACAGAACUUACCAGGCUUCUUCUGCAGCAUUCAGGUACACUGCGGGGACUCCCUACAAGGUCCCACCGACCCAGAGUAACAACGCACCUCCUCCCUACUCGCCGUCUCCGAACCCGUACCAAACCGCUAUGUACCCCAUCAGAAGUGCCUAUCCACAGCAGAACCUGUACACCCAGGGAGCUUAUUAUACCCAGCCAGUGUACGCGGCACAGCCUCACGUUAUCCAUCACACCACCGUGGUUCAGCCCAACAGCAUCCCAUCGGCCAUCUACCCGGCCCCGGUCGCUGCGCCCAGGACCAACGGUGUGGCCAUGGGCAUGGUCGCUGGGACCACCAUGGCAAUGUCAGCAGGAACCUUGUUGACCACCCCACAACACACUGCCAUCGGAGCACAUCCAGUUUCCGUGCCAACGUACAGGGCUCAAGGAACCCCCACCUACAGCUAUGUACCUCCACACUGGUAAACCCACUGGCCAAUUCAUAUCCAGAGUCAAACAUUGUAUGCAACUACACAAGUCUUACAUCGGUGCUGUGGCCGCUGUCCUGCAGCACCUCGUCUGUUUGCAAGAACAAAAGAAAACCAACAAAAGUGCAAGGGUCACUUUAUGCAUUCUUUAGUGGUUUUGUAAAAGCUGCUUUUUCUAAUCUUCUGCCUCCCUUUUAUUUUAUUGUUUUCUCCUCUCCCCUUUCCUCCUCCCCACCCCACAUCCAUUGUGUAACACACGUACUGACACUGAGCAAUAGUCGAGUUCUCUUUGGAGUCCUAUCAUUGGAAAGCUCAGACUAUUCCACUGUUUUGUUUUUCCAGCAUUGCCCAGCUGAGUGGUGCAAAGAUCCCCCCACUUCUUGUUCGUUUUGGGUUCUUUUCAUGAUCUUUCUGUUGUCGUUGUUGUUGGCAAGAGCCUAGAUUUCUUUUGGCUAGUAAGAGUGGUUGAUGUUCAGGGUACUACGUGAAAAGCACAGCGCUGGUAGGCAGGCUUCUUCUUCCCAUUUUGGUUUGGGUAUUUUUAGUUGAAGAAUAUAAAUUAUUUAAUCUUCCAUAACAUAUUGCAAGAAAAAAAAGCAACUUGGUGUCUUCCAGAUAGCUGUUGUGAUAGAUUAUAAAUGCAUUAUCUGCAGUGAAGUUCUGAACUCAUCCCUUCUUUUGUAGGAGUUAAGAGAAUAUAAGUAUCAUUAGCGACGUAACACACUUGUCUUAGGAAGUAUGAGGAAUGGGCACCAUCAGGUCUUUGGGCUGCUUUUUCCGACUGGGCAAAUGGAUCUUGUGUGAUGGGAAGAGAGCAGCAGAGACACACGUGCCCUGGUAGCAUCUUGCACCUCUUGGGUAUAUAGGGUGCUCCCCAUCGGCUACGUCCUGGGGCUGCGUGAGGGAGAAGGCAGCUCCUUCCUUGUGUGGCUACUGUUUGCAGGCAGAGAUGAGCUGGGUGGCUGUUGAAGGAAGCAAGGAGAUGUCCAAGGUUUGGUUUGAAGAGCUUCUCCAGGUCCAAGGUUUGGUUUGAAGAGCUUCUCCAGGUCCAAGGUUUGGUUUGAAGAGCUUCUCCAGGUCCAGGGUUUGGUUUGAAGAGCUUCUCCAGGUCCAGGGUUUGGUUUGAAGAGCUUCUCCAGGUCCAGGGUUUGGUUUGAAGAGCUUCUCCAGGUCCAGGGUUUGGUUUGAAGAGCUUCUCCAGGUCCAGGGUUUGGUUUGAAGAGCUUUUCCAGGUCCAGGGUUUGGUUUGAAGAGCUUCUCCAGGUCCAAGGCUUGGUUUGAAGAGCUUCUCUAGAGUCUCAUAGUGUGGGAAAGGAGGAGAGCUGAUUGAUGGAGAAGAGUCUUUGAGGUAGGGCAAGGGGGAAGACGGGUGGCUUCACCUUUCACCUGUGUCAUUGGCAGGGCUGAAACCAAACUGUGAUUCCUCCAUGGUAGUCAAGGUGCCCCCCUCAUUCUUUGGGUUACAGCUGAGGCUUCCAGGAGAAAUGUUCAUCCAAGCACAAAUCCUGGCACCAUAGAGAAAGGCAGGAGAGGGGGAUGAGAGCAGCUGCUCUGCUUGGCCUGUGGGGAGAAGCGGAGGGGAAGAGGAAGCAAUAGCAAUAAACACGUCACCUUCCUCAUGGGAAGGCACCCAAGGAAAGGCGAGAGCACGGAAGGUGAUCCACAGUUGACAGGGACCAGGCUGGGAUACAAUGGGCACGUGGAGGCUGUGGGCAAUGGGGUAAGUUCAGGGGGUUUUGGCUUUCCCAAGGGCAUGAAGAUGUGAGGCCACGUGUGGCCAGUGACAUCCCACCUUGGGGUAUCCGAGUGGAGCAAUAAGUUGUAUGGAGGGCAGUAGAGAGAGGUUUUGCAGACGGUACUUGAGGCCAGUUUAUGUUUAAGCCCUUAUCCCUGAACCCUGUGUAGAAACAAGGUUUUUCUUCUGUUUUGUGUUUCCUAAGACAAAACCACUGUUGGGUUUUGAGUUUUUCCCUCAAGCGUGCCAAAAGAGUUACGUGCACCAGCAGUGUGUUCGCAGCUCGCAUCUCUUGGGCUUCAAGGUUGUCACAAUGGACCAAAUCCAGAGCCUUUAAAGCAGUCAGGUUAGGAGGUGUGGGUGGGAAUCCCUCCUGGCAUUGCCUGUCAUGGAUUUCUGCCCCAUGCAUGGUGUUGAGUCAGUGCCCAGAUGUCUGUUGGUUGCUCUGCUUUGGGUAUGCCGUAUCUCCAUGUGGAGGUGAAGGCAGUGGAGAGCAGCACUGGAGGGUCACCUUGACUGGGACAUGGUGGUGCAGAGAUCAGACUGGAGGGGCUUUCAGAAGAGCAACGUGACCAUUGUUGGUACCAGGGUGAGACCUUGCUCUUGGUUGUGUCUCCAGCUUGGCUUCUGCUGCCAUUGGGAGGAGUUAAUGGAGCUCCUUCCUAUGAGCACGGUCCAAAUGAGGAGGAACAAGCUUAGGGACCCAAGAGGACUUCUCCUUCCACUGGUUGGUCCCCGGUGGUUUGUCAGCUUGGGUGGUGGAAGCAGCACUUCUGUAUAGGAGUCAUUUAGUUGGUCAUGGGGGUUUUAAAGGAGAUCUGGCAAAGCUCUGGUUGACCUUCCCAACCUCGAGGGGAGCAGAGUGGGGGAAGACUGACCACCAGUGCUGUGGGGUUGGAAGGUGGAUUUCUCCUGUGUGGUACUUUGGGUUGCACUUUGGGUUUGUAUAAAUGGAAAAGAGAAGGAACACCCCCCCCCCAAAAAAAAAACAAACCCUAAGGGUUCACCUUGGCCAAGGCAAGGAUUAGCACAUAAAGAGCACCAGGACAUUUGGAACCAAUGUUCCUACAUCACCCUUCCACUGUCUGUAGCAGUUAAACCUGGGUGGAAAACCACCCAGUAGAUCACAGGACUUGAAGACCUCUCAAUACCCUUCUUUCCUCUCAUGUUGACCUCGGGCUAUGUGUUAGGAGCUGUCUGUCAGCAUGGAAACACAUAGGGUAGAGUAAGCUCCAGCCAGAGUAAUGGCACUAUGGCUUGCAGGGUUCAGUGUUAUCACAGCCUAGGUUCUACAGAGGAGGUCCUGCCCAGCAGACCUAGGCACCCUUCACCCUUAGCUGCUUUAGGAAUGAGUGCCAAUACUUGGGUCCAUGGCCAGGAAGGAGCUGCCAGGCUUGCUGGUGAAAGGAAAGAGAACACUAAAGGUGGGGUAGAAAGCUCCAGGAAGAUCACCCAGUGUUACCACUACUGAGAUGUGACAGGGGUGGUUUAGUUUUAACUCCUUCCCUUGGAGCAGCAGCAGAGCUGGUGCUCCUCAUCCUGUUAUGCCCAGGCAGAAACGGCCAUUAACUCAACCAGGGUGUGGAGAGGUGAAGCAUUCACUGCCUGUCAGGUGAGAGGCUCUAGUGAGCACGUUUGGAAACUGGUGGUGGGUUUAGGCUUGGACACUGCAUGGCUCCAGGGCCACCGCAUGGCUCCAGGCUUGAGUAGCUCCUUCCCAAGGUGGCUUCAUGGGUCCAUGAUGGUGGUGAGAUGCUCCCUGCUGCUGCAUGGGGAUGUGGGGCUUGAUGCCCCUCAGCUCAUGCCAGCAGUGACCUGCAGCCCUGUCCCCUUCCCCAUGGAGGGAUAUUGGGGUUUGGGUAGAUGGAAUGAUGAGAGGAAAGCCCAUGAUCCCAAGCCCUUUCCUUGGCCAAGUCAUGGCUUAAGUGGAGGUCCUGGGGAGGUUGCAGCCUGGUGGGGGACUCCUGUGUGGGGAACACUGAUGGUGGCCACCAGCUUCUCAGAUACUUCACUCCAGCAAAGCUUUGCUGAUGUCAGUUAAGCAAAAGGGUUUCCUGUGGUGGAGGAUCACACUGGGCAUUAGCAAGGAGGAGCAGGAGGGGCUAAACCAUCCUUAGGAACCUCUGAAGUAUCUCAGAGAUUGAUAUUGCAGCUAAAGAGGAAGGAAAAUCACUCUGAAACCACUGUUACAGCCAUGAACCCAUCCCUGCCAUUAUCUCUGCUUGAAAACACGAGCUGUAACCCAAGAUGUGGGGAGGGAAAAAGGCAAAUUGAGAGUGGUGGUGACCCCCAACCUGAGUGAGCUCCUGUAUCCAUCACCCCUCCAAGGGGCUGAGCCCUCCAGGUGACCAUUUGCUCUUGUGUUUAAUGAAUAACAAUAACCCAGGUCAGCUUUUGCAGUUGCAGGAUGUACUUACCAUGAAGUGUUAUUGAAGGGCUUGGUUUGAAGGAUGCAUGUUUUAGGGUAUCCGUUUCCUCCCCAUCCACCAGCAUCCCAUUGAAUGGGGUCCUUCCCGAAGCCCUCUCUCUUUGCCAUCCUCUCCCUCCCCUCCUCCAUCCCAGUGGAUGCAGGGAUAUGGGAUGAUGUGGUCCCUUGUCCAGAGGGUGUGAAAUGGGGGUUGGCUUUCUUAGAGGGGUACACAUUUGAGGAUAUUUCGAGGGAACCCACAUUUGAAGGAUAAUUUUCCAUAGGGAAACCCAACCAGCCGACAAUAGCAAUAAGAGCUGCUGGAUAUCCAUAAAUCCAGGGCUUUUGGGUUAGUUUUUAUUAAUUGUCAGUAUUUCCAGGCCCUCCAUCCAUCACCCCCAAAACACAGUGACCCUCUGCCCAUCUUCCUUUCACUUUGUCCUCAGCCCUUUGGGCUGCCAGCAGGAUCAAGCUCCAGAUGGUUUCUCUGCCAUGCACUAGCAUUCCCAUAGGGAAAAAAGG